AUUGUUGCCUACAAGUCAGCAUGACUUCAUGAUUGUGAUAUAAUAGUAUCAUCACCUCAGGGAAGGAUACUUCUGUGAAAUUAAGUGAUAUAGUCCUAUCUGAGUAGGAAUAUUGUACAUGAAAAAUCCUGCUAAUAAGCAUAGGUCUUAUUUUGAUAUUUUGGAAUUUUAUAGGGAAUUAAAUACAAUAAAAUAAAGCAUCCUACUGAGGUCAGACAUCUGAGAACAACAGGUUAGUCAAAUCCUCAUUCCUGUGAAAUUUACCAAGGGGCUUUUAAAAUGGCCAAACGUUAAAGUAUCUAGCAUGAUGCUUGAAAUAUAAUAUGUGGAAAUACACUAAACUAAAAUGACCCUGUCCAGUCUCAUGGCUUCAAAUACCAGCCCCAUGCUAAUGAUCAAAUUUUCUAUGCAUUCAAAUCUCCCGAACUCAGAUUUAGAUAUCUAACAUCUCUACUGGUUUCUUCACCUGUUUCCCACAUCAAACUUCUUUCUUUUCUUAAUCCAUUUCCCCCCACCUUUUCCAUUAUAUUAAUCAUAAUUAAAUAGGGACGUUUGGCUCAGGCUCUGAAAUUUGACUCACAUCCCAUGUCAAAUUCAACACCAAAUCCUCUCAACUCUACUUUAAAAAUAUUUUCAAAAUAUGACCACUUCUCUCCACUACAACUCUAGCUCAAAUCAUCCUAUCUUUUUCCUAGGUGAUUGCAAUAACAUCUCACUACCUGGAUCUACUCUUUGUCCUAUAGUCAAUUCUUAUCUCAGCAGACAGCAGACUAUUAAAGCUGUGAACCAUAUCAGCCUCUAUUGCCUUCUGUAGCUUCCAUUUCACCUCCAUAGAAAUCUCCACGAUGACAUCUAAGACUCUCUAUGGUUGGUCCCUCUUCUUGCCUUACAACUAAAAACUCUUCUACCAUUUCCACGGUAUUCACUCUGCUGUAGCAGGGAGACCUAUUUGCUGUCCCUUAAACAAAGCAGAUGUCUUUCUCCUCUGGUCUUUGCAUUUGCUGGUCCUAUUACUAGCAGUGUUAUUUUUUACAUCCACUUGAUGACUUCCCUCAUCUCCUUCAAGUCCUUGAUGGAGAAUGUUCUUAUACAGUAAGGACGUACCUGGCAACCAUAUUUAAAACAGAAUCUUCAGUCCCAUGUCCAGAACUCUUUAUGCGCCUUCUCUGUUUUAUAAUAGUUUGAGAAAAUCAGUAAGUGUUUUGGGGACACAGCACUUACCACCACCUGACAUAAUUAGGCAUAAAACUGUAUUUCUUAAUUAUUUUCUUUCUUAUAUAUUUGUUUGCCUUUCAUCAUCUAAGCAUUUAGCAGAAGUUGUCUAUGUUAUUCACCAUGGUAUUCCUAAUUCCUUAAAAAGUGUUGGAUAUAAAACAAACAUACAUUGAACAUUUGUUGAAUAAAAGAAUUAUAUGUAAAAUUACGGUCAAGAAUUUUUCGAGGGGAAAACUCUUAUCCUCUAAACACAUUUAUUUGGAUACCUGGUAAAUUAUACUAUAAUUAACUUGGGAAAUAAACUUGUUCCUCUUAUGUUAAUUGAGGGAAGCUUUGGCAGGAGCAUUCUGCUUCAUCUCCAAGUAUUUUAAUCAAAGCCUAUUGUUAUUUUUUUCAAAUAUGACAACCCUAUGGGACCCACCGAGCUGAAGAUUAGUGAAGAUUAGCUGGGACACCCAGUUCCUGUUCUCAUUGUGGAGUGCCAGAUUUCCUGGGCAAACAGUAUCAGACAUUACUUUAGGUGAAGACUUUCCAGUCUGACUUCCCUCACCUGAGCCUUAAGGAUCCAUUUUCUGACAUGGUGAUAGUAAAGAUAUUGGUUGUCAAGUGGAAUCUCAGCAGUCAUUUUCAGACAAAGGGAAAGAAAAAGUAUGGAAGAUGCCUGAUUCUCAAAGAGUCAUCCGGUCCUGGGAUUACAGCCUAAGUCCAUGGAAGUGAAAGUCCUCUUUUUCUUUGUACCUCUUACUGAGAUAAGUCUGAUGCAAUUAAUUAUAUUAGUUACAUUCUAUUCAUUGGUUAUAACUAUAUUUUAAAUAUACCUGGUUUAUAAGAAUUAAACCUAUUUGCCAUACCACAGUUAUUGCUUCAGAAGCCAAAUGUGAUUUUAUUAUGGUCAUAAAAUUAUUUUAGAUAUCCUCAUAUCUCUUAUAUAUCUGAACUGCCCAGGAACUUUCAUGAUUAUAAUGUACCACAUAGGACAUAUUGUAGUUGAUCACUAAGCAGAGAAAUCUACCUAGAUUAAGCAAAAAAAAAAAAAAAAUAUGUAUUGAGAUUGAUAUGGUUAGCCUUUUUGUCCCCACUCAGAUAUCAUCUCGAAUUGUAAAUCCCCAUAUUUUCCCCCAUGUGUCAAUGGGAGAGACCAGGUGGAGGUAAUUGAAUCAUGGGGGUGAUAGUGAGUGAGUUCCCAUGAAAUCGGAUGGUUUUCUAAGGGGCUCUUCCUCCUUCACUUGGCAAUUCUCCUUCCUGCCACCCUGUGAGGAAAGUGCCUGCUUCCCCUUCACCUUCCACCAAGAUUGUUAAAUUUCUUGAGGCUUCCCCAGCCAUGCUGAACUAUGAGUCAAUUAAAUCUCUUUCUUUAUAAAUUACCUAGUCUCCGGCAGUUCUUUAUAGCAGUAUGAAAACAGACUAAUAAAGAGAUUAAUCUUAAUUUUUCCUUUCAGAAAUGCUGAAUGCUGUUCCUAGAUUUGUGAAAGUGAAGUGUGCAUAAGCUGCCUCAGUGCGACACUUUCCUUUUGUGAGACUAAAGAAAUUGAGGUACUAUAUGGUACCUUGGAAGUGUCAUCAAGAUAUUUUAAAAGCUGACUGGAGCGCAUUUCUUUGAUACUCCUCCUAGCUGAAAUUAGAACAUUUAUAAACUAUUAUCAAUAUGUCAUUAGGAAAAUUUUGAGAUCUAUGAUACAUUAAGUUUGUGAAAUUGUUCUGAAGCAAUGAAUGAACUCUCUAGAUUAACUCUACUAGGAUAAAAUAAAAUAUUCCUAUUUAUUUCCAUUCACAAAAUAGUUGUUCUCUAGAUAAUCAAAUAUCCAUAAUAAUGAUGAACCCAGAAAGUGUUUAUUUUACCUGGUAUUUAUUAUAGUCAGUUCAAAGUUCAAUAGAAA
rnacentral:lncRNA from 10 species